AUAAAUCAAUAAAUUAAAUUAAACGUGAAUCUGCCAGUUAGAAGUACCUUGCGCCAGUCCAAGUGUAACCACUUCAACAGCCUCACAUUUGAGUCAGAUUUUGGAUCAAACGUAUGUAGCGGUAGCCAGUUUCCUCAAAGGGGUGUGGCGAUCAACUUCGCUUGCGACACACUCCGAAAACGAAAAGAGUGUUGUGGACGAGAGCUUAAAACACACAUUUUUCAGACGGGCCGUGUGGGCAAUCUACAGAGCUUUUUGGCAUGAAAAGUUACAGACACCUUGCUGAGACAUUAACGUCCAAUUCUUUAGCAAUGUGGAGCAUGAAAAAAACGUGUGCAUGGACCUUUAAAGCAGAUUAUGGACAAUUACACAUGCAUGGAAUAAAUCUGUAUAAUAAUUUGAUAAACACUUUUAGAACAUUUUACCAUUUAUAGAUUAAUCACAGCAUAACCUACCUGGGAACUCUGGUUCACAAAAAUAAAAAUAAGAAAGCCUUUCAUAGUCCCACAAUGGUGAAAUUCCAUCUCACAACAGCACAACACAGUAAAGAGUGUACAGCAACAGAUGAAACAUUGACACCAAAUCAAACCAAAUUCGGUUCAGUUGGCACACUACAACACUGUACAGGUGGGCAGAGUGGAGUAAUAGGUAGGGUUAUUGUAUUGUAUAAUAUAAAUAUUGUACAGUUUGCACAAAUAUCGCACAGAGUUUUGUACAUAACCAUUGAUGCUUAUCAGUUGAGGUGUGGGCGAUAGUUAACAGUGCUGAUUAUUAUACACUCUGAUAGCAGCAAGAAGGAAGGAUCUACAAUAUCUCUCCUUCACACAGUGAGGGUGGAUCAGUCUGUUACUGAAGCUGCUCCAGUGCAGACAGUGAGUCCUCCAGUGGGUCAGAGUCCUGGUCCAGGAUGGAUGUGAGUUUAGCCAGGACCCUUCUCUCACCACCUCCUGUACCGUGUCCAGAGUGCAGCCCAGGACAGAGCUGGACUUCAUGAUGAUCCUGUCCAGCCUCUUCCUGUCCCUCGCUGUGAUGCUGCUGCUGAAGACCUUUUAUGACUCCAGAGUCAUAGAAGGUUUUCAGUAAAGUUUAUUGUUUAGAUGCGCACCCAGGUACUUACAGUAUAAGAGUACACUCUCUCAAUGUCUGUCCCCAUUGGUGUGUCAUCGAUGAUUAGUCCAAUGAUCGCAGAGUCAUCAGAGAACUUCUACAGAACGCAGCUGUCUGUGUUGUUUCUGACGUCUGACGUAUAGAGGGUGAAGAGGAAGGGGGCCAGUACAGUCCUCUGUUGGGCCCUCACACUGCGGGUCAGAGUGUCAGACACGCAGUCCCUGGCUCUCACAAACUGAGGCCUGUUUGUGAGAUAGUCUAUAAUAGUCUAUAAUCCACUCCGUCAGAUGCAGCCUCCUCUAGUUUGUGUUUUAGAAGCACCGGCUGGAUGGUGUUAAAGGAACUGGAGAAAUCAAAGAACAUGGGCUUCUCCAGGUGGGAAAAAGCUUGGGUAAAGGGUAAAGGCCUUUGUGUAAAGGACUGUGAGGGGUGGUCCAGUGGUGUGAGGUGACAAAAGGUUUGGAGGCAGCUGCUGAGGUGGUGUGCUUGAUCGAACCGAUUGAAGUAUGAGUUCAGCUUGUUGACCCAGCUCAGGUCCCCCUCAGCCUGUGAGUGUGGUGCUUUGAAGCCUGAGAUGGUUUAAGACUCCUCCACACCUCACUAACGUUGUUAUGCUUCAGCAGCUCCUCCAUUUUCCUGCUGUAGCUGGUCUUCCCUUCGCAGAUUUUCCUCCUCAGCUCCUUCUGCACCCUCUUCACUUCCUCCCUGUCCCCUGAUUUGAAUGCUCUCUUCUCCUUUAACAGAGCUUUAAUAUCAGGGGUGACCCACUGCUUGUUGUUGGCGAAACACAGACAAGCCGUGGGUCACCCCUGAUAUAAUUUAUUUACUUGUUUGAAAAUCAUGUACUAAAAUGCCAAUUUGUUGUUUUUUUAGAUAGCCUUUGUCAAGAUCUCAUCAUUGAAGUGGGCAGGCUGAUCACAGCUGAUGCCAUUCAGGAGGUGCAGAGGGCGAUAAUGCCAGGUCCUAGGAUCCUAUGAGAUACUGGGACAACCAAAAGACAAUCUAUCCAAACCUCUCCUGGCUUUCCUUAUAAUUUCUCUGCAGGGGUUAGGGGGUUCGGAUGAGGCCGCACGUUCCUCUUCGCGACGUUCACUGAUGCUGAUCCACAAUCGUCGAUCGACUUUGAUUGCAAGUGCGAUUAACUCGUCUAAAUCGGCUGAAGGUUCAGUUGCUGCUAAACUGUCCUUGACACGACGAGACAAACCCUUGAUAUAUACGUUACAUAGUGCGGUGGAGUCCCAGCCUGCCUCCGCGGCAAGAGUGUCAAACUCAAUGGCAUACGCUGACGCGGACCGAUCUCCUUGGCGGAGAUUCACCAGUCUCUGGGCUGCUUCUCUGCCUGGCAUGACCUCUUGAAAAAUGUUCUUUAGUGCCGUGGAAAAAUCAUCAAAUGUUGCUAGGCAAGCACAUUUUUUUUGCCAUUCUGCCGUGGCCCAGGCUUCGACCUUAGCUCGCUCCGUGGGGAAUGACGGAGCAUGAAGUUCAAACUGGAUUUCACAUUGGGUUAAAAAAGCUCUACAGUCACCUGUGUCACCGGAGAAGCGGGUCGGAGCUCCCAGUUGAAUGUGAGGAGCGACUGAGCUUGGCGUUGGUGCGAAGGUGACUGCAGGUGCUGGCGCUGGCUUCACUCGCUGGGUAAGUACGGCUAGCUGCUCCCCGUACGCCGUCAUGAGGUUUUCCUGUCGGGCGGCAUAUCUGGAGAGCUCCUGUAGCAUGGUAGUAAUUUGUUCCUCCUGUGUCCGGAUCCGUGCCUCCUGAGCCUGCAACUCGGCUUUAAUCGACUUGGCGCCAGCUGGGUCCAUGUUUGGCCUGAUUGUUCUGUCACAAUUGCACAAUGGUGGAAGGACCGAAAUGCACAGCGAGGCUUGAGUAAAUGAGUGUUUUAAUAAGAACGUAGUCAGGCAGGCAAUUGUCAUACACAGGUUGGCAAAAAACAAGAUUCGACAAGGUGUGGGCAAAGACGUGGUCAAAAAACAGGCAGAGGUAAAACACACUAGACUGGACUAUCAGAGACUGGGCUAGAAUCAAAACGGUAUUACCAAACUGGGACAUGCGUGGGAACUGGAGACUCGACAACGCUGGAAUGCUGGUCAUGGAAUGAACGCAGACAAUCUGGCAAGGUACUGGGGUGAGAGGUGGUGCUUAAGUACUGAACUACUGAUUACUGAUGAUGUGCAGGUGAGGUUAACAAGGGCCGGAAGUAAAGCUGGUCUGACUGGAUAUGGGAGCUAAACAGGAAGUAGUGACAAAAUAAAACCGGAAAUGACUAAGACAGUAAGGGAGUUGACUGAGGUUGUGACACAAAAUACCUAAAGGUUGUAUACAUUAUUAUAUACAGGUUGUAUAUAUUAUUAAUCAGACUUUAUUUACUGUACAUGUAAAUACUUAUUUAAAUUAAUAUUUUUGAACUUAAGUGUCCUCAACAGAAUUUUAUUACAUUUUUUAAAUAUGUUUAAAUAUGCAGAAUUUAUGAAAAUGAUCUAAACGUGUGUUUUGAACGUGUGAUUUUUGUCCUUAGAUGCUGUCAUCACAACUUAUGAUACUACAUCAUCAAAUGUAUGGAAAACAAUGAACACAUAUACACAGAGUUGUUGGGUGGUGGUGGAACAAAGAUAGAACUAAGUGUUUCUGUUCCAGUUUGUCUUCCAGCAGACAGGUAGUGCUGUGGUGUCCAGUGUUUGCCCUGUUUGUUCAUUUGUGGUGUCAUUUGAUUUUCAGGUUUGGUUCCUGUUUGUAAUAGAGGUAACUUGUUUUACAUGUGGCAUUAGUUUGGUAAGUUAGUUUGAUUCAUGUUUACUUAUUAUCAGUUUCAAUGUCAAUGACAGUGUGAGUUGCAAUAUUGAUGAUGCUAUAUUUAGCUGACUUAAAUGUUAUCUUCACAUUUUUUUAUUUGCAUGUUCACUGUGUCUGUAUUUAUUUAAUGUUCAAUGCUGGUCUGGAACAAAAUUUCAUGUGUUCUGUCUGAACAUAUUUUAUAGGUGCACAAAGGUAAGCAUGUGAAAGAAAGUGGCAGUAUAAGACAAGAUGCUAAAGUUACACAGUGUAUGUUUUAAUGGAUUUGACGUUUCCGUUCCCUCUUCUUUGUGUGUGCAGCCAUUGAGGUAUGAUUAUUUUACCAUUGUUUCCUGUUGUUCAUUAUUUUAUGUACUCACAUACUGUUUUUUUCUUAUGAUAAAUGCUUAGUGUGUUACGUAUAUGUUGUAGUUUGACGGUGGACAUUGGUGGAUUUUGGUGGAUGACAAAAGAAAAUAAGCAGCAACAAGCACGGCUCAUCAACCAGGUGGCAUAUGGACACCAGAGCAUCCACAUCGUCAUGCUACCUUACCAAUCCACCUGCAGACGAUUAACGGAUUAAACCCCUGACGACAUCUCCGCUUCCUCCCCCUCUCCAUUGGCUCCCACACCUGACCAGGACUCCUGGCAGCUCCUCUCCUCUUUGGACUCCUUAGCUCCUGAUCUGAGCUUUCAUAGGCCCCGUUUCACCUCUGAAACCAGAACGCAACUAGUCUCUGAGUCUGAGUCUGCUCACUCACACUUUGGUACAAAGCCAUGUUGAGGUUGAUAAAAAAACAUAAAUCAAAAUAAACGUAAUGCUGAUAGAUAACCAUAAAUCAGCGUAAAUGCAACAUUGGUGGAAGACCAUAAAUCAACGUACACGUAACGUUGAUAAUUGACCAUAAAUUAACAUACAUGUAAAGUUGAUGAACAACCAUAAAUCAUCUUAAAUGUAACGUUGAUGAACGCCCAUAAAUCAUUGUAAAUGUAACAUUGAUAAACGCCCAUAAAUCAGUGUAAAUGUAACAUUGAUAAACGCCCAUAAAUCAACGUGUGUUUAACGUCGAUGAACGCCCAUAAAUCAACGUGCGUGUAACGUUGAUCAACGCCCAUAAAUCAGCGUAAAUGUAACGUUGACGAUUGACCAAAAUGCAACAUUGAAAUAACGUUGCCCCAUCAACGUUGAUUCACCUUUCAAAAUCUAAAUAUAAUCCAAUGGUUAUUCAACCAUAAUUAUAAUGUUGCCUCAACGUUGUCUCAACGUUGAAAUGCCUGCUGGGAACGCAUCCUCAUUCACAACAUGUUCACUUAGAUUUUCACGUUAUGAUACAUGUUCACUUUAUCGACUGUAUCCAAAAAUAUCAAUUUUAAAUUAAAAGAAGAUAUUAAAUAAUACUAUAUAAAAUACAAUUACUUAAAUUAUAUUAUUGUCUAUAUUAGGUCAAAUCAGUGUCAGCAACUAGGUUGCCUGUAGGGAUUUUUUAAGUCCUGCAGGUGUCAGUAUUUAGUGACACAGUAUCCACACAGUAUCAAUACAGUUUUGCAAUGCAUCAAAGAGCUUCAUGACACCUCAUCUACCCAUCACUAGGAUUCAUGAGUCUUCGAUUUCAGCAUCUCUUCUAUCCACACAGGCACAUUACACUUUGUUGGUUUUGUUUGUUGUUUCAUUAAUUAUGUGUCGGAAGUAAUCAGACUUAUGCAUCGCGCCGUCAAAACCUGACAGCUGGGCAACGCUCGCUUUUGACAUCUUUGCAGCGGCGCAUCGGUGCAAUGCGCGAGUCCGGCAAAACCAUUAUUAUUAUUGUUUGGGUCCAUCUUUUAUUUGUGUUGUAUUUCGUGUUCAAUGUACCUGGAGAUUAUUGUGGGAAUAUGUGUUAUUGAUGUAUACCUGUUUUAAGGUGAAUGUUGGGGAUUUAUUUAUAUAGUUUUCUAGCAGGUUCCAGAACCUUCUGGACAAUAGUUGCUCUCAGUAGAAGGGGGUGGGCGGCCAAACUCUAUUGUAGGGGUUGCUUGGCGAGAAAGCUUGUUGGGGCAAGAGAGAAAAGAGACAUUCAUUUUUAAGUGGUUUUGGGUAGGGAUGGCAGUUGAAGUCUCAUGAAGCUUCCACAGUGUUCAUCUGAUUGCGCCUGAAAAAUGAACCAUACUUGCGGGGCUUUGAAACAACACAGAACAGUGACAUUUGGUGAUACACUUCAAGUAUAUCAUCUGCUUUAACCAGCCUUCUUGUCCUUACUGUACUUCAAUAUGUACAUAAUAAAAAGCUUUAAAACAA